GCGCCAGUGCUGCAGUGUGCGGCGCAUGGCUGCGAGAGCCUGGCGGGGGGCGGGCUCGAGUCGGAAAGACACCGACCGGGGAAUGGGCUACGAGGCUUGCCUUAAUUCAGAGGAAACCUAGGGCUUGGGAGAGCCAUACAAUUUGAAAGAUGAGGCAGAAACUGAAAUGGAGAAACUUGUGGUUCGGAUAGCUCAGCUGAUUAAUUCAUAUUGCCACAGUUUGACAUGGACAAGAUGGCGGGAGUCCUAUGGAGUCCUUAAGCCAUAUAAUAUGCAAAGGAUGAAGGAAGAUCAAGUCUAGGUGCCUGAUGACAACAUGGAGCUGUCACACAAGCCCUGGCUGCCUACCCUUGGACUUCUCAUUAUGGGAGAAAAUGAAACAAUUCGUUUCAGCUACACUGAUCUUUUUUCCUAUUUUUCUUUUGUUGAGUGUGUGUUUGUGUCUGUUAUUUACAGCUGAUUGUAAUUCAUAACGAUGUGGUAGUGGGACUGU